rnacentral:rRNA from 1 species
UUAGAGUUUGAUCCUGGCUCAGGAUGAACGCUAGCUACAGGCUUAACACAUGCAAGUCGAGGGGAAACGGCAUUUAGUGCUUGCACCGAAUGGACGUCGACCGGCGCACGGGUGAGUAACGCGUAUCCAACCUACCCAUUACUGUGGGAUAACCUGCCGAAAGGCAGACUAAUACCGCAUAGUCUUCGAUGACGGCAUCAGAUUUGAAGUAAAGAUUUAUCGGUAAUGGAUGGGGAUGCGUCUGAUUAGCUUGUUGGCGGGGUAACGGCCCACCAAGGCAACGAUCAGUAGGGGUUCUGAGAGGAAGGUCCCCCACAUUGGAACUGAGACACGGUCCAAACUCCUACGGGAGGCAGCAGUGAGGAAUAUUGGUCAAUGGGCGCGAGCCUGAACCAGCCAAGUAGCGUGCAGGAUGACGGCCCUAUGGGUUGUAAACUGCUUUUGUAUGGGGAUAAAGUCAAUCACGUGUGAUUGUUUGCAGGUACCAUACGAAUAAGGACCGGCUAAUUCCGUGCCAGCAGCCGCGGUAAUACGGAAGGUCCGGGCGUUAUCCGGAUUUAUUGGGUUUAAAGGGAGCGUAGGCCGGAGAUUAAGUGUGUUGUGAAAUGUAGACGCUCAACGUCUGACUUGCAGCGCAUACUGGUUUCCUUGAGUACGCACAACGUUGGCGGAAUUCGUCGUGUAGCGGUGAGAUGCUUAGAUAUGACGAAGAACUCCGAUUGCGAAGGCAGCUGACGGGAGCGCAACUGACGCUUAAGCUCGAAGGUGCGGGUAUCGAACAGGAUUAGAUACCCUGGUAGUCCGCACAGU